AUUGAACGCUGGCGGAAUGCUUUACACAUGCAAGUCGAACGGCAGCACGGGGCAACCUGGUGGCGAGUGGCGAACGGGUGAGUAAUACAUCGGAACGUGCCCAAUCGUGGGGGAUAACGUAGCGAAAGUUACGCUAAUACCGCAUACGAUCUACGGAUGAAAGCGGGGGAUCGCAAGACCUCGCGCGAAUGGAGCGGCCGAUGUCAGAUUAGGUAGUUGGUGGGGGUAAAGGCUCACCAAGCCGACGAUCUGUAGCUGGUCUGAGAGGACGACCAGCCACACUGGGACUGAGACACGGCCCAGACUCCUACGGGAGGCAGCAGUGGGGAAUUUUGGACAAUGGGCGCAAGCCUGAUCCAGCCAUUCCGCGUGCAGGAUGAAGGCCUUCGGGUUGUAAACGUGCUUUGUACGGUAACGAAACGGUU
rnacentral:rRNA from 1 species